AGGAUGAACGCUGGCGGCGUGCCUAACACAUGCAAGUCGAACGUUAGAGUGUAGCAAUAUGCUCAAAAGUGGCGGACGGGUGAGUAACACGUAGGUAGCCUGCCGCGCAGAGGGGGAUAACGACUGGAAACGGUCGCUAACACCGCAUGGUACUAGCCAAAGGGGACUUUAGCUAGUUAAAACCUUGGU
rnacentral:rRNA from 1 species